rnacentral:rRNA from 1 species
AGAGUUUGAUCCUGGCUCAGAACGAACGCUGGCGGCGUGGCUAAGACAUGCAAGUCGAACGGACCAUUUUGAAGAGUAAUCGGAUUGAUGGUUAGUGGCGAAAGGGUGAGGAAUGAAUAGGUAACGUACCCCGAACAUCGGAAUAGUGUCAGAAAACUUCGGUUUUCAUCCGAAAGGGGCUUUAAUACCGUAUAAUACCAUUUGUUUUAAGGCGAAUGAUCAAAGAUUUAUCGGUUUGGGAGCGGCCUAUUUCCUAUCAGCUAGUUGGUGAGGUAAUGGCUCACCAAGGCAUCGACGGGUAGCGGGGCUGAGAGGCUGACCCGCCACAUCGGGACUGAGACACUGCCCGGACCUCCACGGAGGGCUGCAGUAACGAAUAUUGCGCAAUGGACGAGAGUCUGACGCAGCAACGCCGCGUGUAGGAUGAAGCUCCUUGGAGUGUAAACUACUGUCAGGGGUCAGAAAGUAUGCUUCGGCAUAUUGAUCAACCCCAGAGGAAGUCACGGCUAACUUCGUGCCAGCAGCCGCGGUAAUACGAAGGUGGCAAGCGUAGUUCGGAUUCACUGGGCUUAGAGCGCGCGUAGGCGGAAGAGAAAGUGUUUUGUGAAAGCCCCCGGCUUAACCGGGGAAUUGCUUGGCAAACUUCUCUUCUUGAGGCAAGUAGGGGUACAUGGAACUCUUGGUGGAGCGGUGGAAUGUGUAGAUAUCAAGAGUAACGCCAAAGGUGAAGACAGUGUACUGGGCUUGUCCUGACGCUGAGGUGCGAAAGCGUGGGGAGCGAACGGGAUUAGAUACCCCGGUAGUCCACGCCGUAAACGAUGUCUACUAGAUUGUGUGGGUUCUGACACCGUCACAGUCGAAGCAAAAGUGUUAAGUAGACCGCCUGGGGAGUACGGUCGCAAGGCUAAAACUCAAAGGAAUUGACGGGGGCUCACACAAGCGGUGGAGCAUGUGGAUUAAUUCGAGCAACGCGCAGAACCUUACCUGGGUUUGACAUGCUUGUAUGCCUAUCUGGAAACAGAGUCGGCUGCCCUUCGGGGUGAAACUUGCACAGGUGCUGCAUGGCUGUCGUCAGCUCGUGUCGUGAGAUGUCGGGUUAAGUCCUUUAACGAGCGAAACCCUUACCGUUAGUUACCAUCGGGUCAUGCCGGGAACUCUAGCGGGACUGCCGGUGUUAAACCGGAGGAAGGCGGGGAUGACGUCAAGUCCUCAUGGCCUUUAUGCCCAGGGCUUCACACGUGCUACAAUGGUGACUACAGAGCGACGCAAGAUCGUGAGAUGGAGCAAAUCGCAAAAAAGUCGCCUCAGUUCGGAUUGUAGGCUGUCAACUCGCCUACAUGAAGUUGGAAUCGCUAGUAAUCGCGUAUCAGCUACGACGCGGUGAAUGUGUUCCUGAGCCUUGUACACACCGCCCGUCAAGUGAUGGAAGUUGGGAGUACCCGAAGUCGGAUUGCUAACCCCUCGGGGAAGCGUCUGCCGACGGUAAGCUCGAUGACUGGCACUAAGUCGAAACAAGGUA